rnacentral:rRNA from 1 species
GAUGAACGCUAGCGGCAGGCCUAAUACAUGCAAGUCGAACGGUGUCUUCGGACAUAGUGGCGCACGGGUGCGUAACACGUAUGCAACCUACCUUACAUUGGGGGAUAGCCUUUCGAAAGGGAGAUUAAUACCGCAUAAGACAGUAGCUGGGCAUCCAGCAGCUGUUAAAGAUUUAUUGAUGUAAGCUGGGCAUGCGUCCAAUUAGCUAGUUGGUGAGGUAACGGCUCACCAAGGCAAUGAUUGGUAGGGGAACUGAGAGGUCAAUCCCCCACACUGGCACUGAGAUACGGGCCAGCCUCCUACGGGACGCAGCAGUAGGGAAUAUUGGGCAAUGGACGCAAGUCUGACCCAGCCAUGCCGCGUGCAGGAUGAAGGCGUUAUGCGUUGUAAACUGCUUUUAUACAGGAAGAAACGACUCUUGCGAGAGGCAUUGACGGUACUGUAUGAAUAAGCACCGGCUAACUCCGUGCCAGCCGCCGCGGUAAUAC